rnacentral:piRNA from 1 species
UAGACCAACUGUUCCUGAGGGUAAGCGUCC